GUUGCUUACUGUCGGCUGUGCUUGGCAGCCUUCAAGUAGGCUUCGCUAUGGGCAGCAAGAAUCGGAGGAUGGGGACUGAGCCAAAAUGAAGUGGACAGGUUUUCUUCCCUUUUGCAUUGCACAUCUUGGACCAAACAUCCUUUAUCUUUGAAAAGUACUGAUAUGAAAUACACUCAUCACUAAUAAGGCUGAACAGAGCAAAAGAUGCAGGAUUUGUCAUGCUCCCUUUUGGCCGGCUUCUCUUCUCCAGGGCUUCACUGGAAUAUGAAGGCUGUGGCAGAACUGCUGUAAUUGGUGCACUCUUGAAAAUAUGAUGAUAUAAAUAACCAAAAUGAGCCUGAAGUGGAGGGGACGUCAGAGAUUUUUUGGUCUGCUCCUUGAGGUAUAACAUGAAACUCGGAGAUUUAACAAAAUCUUCUCUCCCACCCAUCACUGAUGGAGCCUCAGAAGUAACUGUUAAUAGCUGGAACAGUGCCUCAGCCAGCCCCUUUGGUGGCUCCAGAAUGGCUUUCCCUUGGUCUAGCCUGCCUUCUCUUACCUCUGCCAGCACGCCUGAUUUUAAAGUAAUCUUACAAGCUGAGGAGCUCAUGCGCGUGUCUGAACCUGGAGGAGGAAUUGCUUCAUCACUGGAGGGGAAGGAAAAGGCAUCAAGGUGCAAGGGCCGUCCCACCAACACAAGACUCCCUCCUUUGGCAAUCUCUCACACCAAACCUGCAGCCCUUCACCCACAGAGUUUGCAUAAGAGAGAAGCAAGAAUAAGAUGCUCAGCUCCCCUGUGCCCCAGGCUGGUGCCUAUCAGUGACGCAAAUCUUGUGUUUCCAUUCAGAAGGAAGGAAUUCUUGCCUGCAGGGAGAGGGAUGUAAUCAAGGUCCAUCCUAAGAAUAUUGAAUGCCUGCUCUCACUGUGACACCAGCACGGAAAGAAAGGAGAGAAGUGCCAUGCCCUGCAGGUGAAGAAAAGCAAGGUGGGACUGAGGAAGGCAGGUCCUACAGUCACAGGUGACCCCACAUUUAGGCACCUAAGCCUUAUGAGUAUCUCCAAACCAGAGUUUUGUUCUUGGGCACAAGCUGUGGGUUGGCACAAUUUCAAUUAAAGGAUAUUUUCAAACUGUCUGUCUUUCUUUUAUUCCCCCUCUCCUAUAGAAAUGACUUUAAAAGACUAGAAGGAUUUCUUCUGAGAGCCACAGGUUUUGAGGGCAUCAUGCUUCAGGAACCCUUUAUGGAAGAGUCUUAAAACUUUGCAGGGAAGUAGCAUCAUUGUUCCAAUUCACUUCUUUUCAUCAGUUUUGAAACAACUCUGGAGAGUAAAUGGCUGUCAGAACAGCUAUAUGCCAUAGGGGCCAUCAUCAAUCUGCAUGACCACUGCAAGUUUAAUAUGGUUUGCGUUCACAUGUUGGCAAAUGUGAUCACACAGAUUUUUAUUUUUAUUUUUUUUCCUUUUCCAGAAGCAGGGGAAAUAGUCAUUUAUUUCCUCCCACCUGACUCACAGGACAGCAGAGCAGCUGAUCCUGCUGGGUUUGAAGGUUCAUGCCUGGUGUCUCUGGUGCUUGGCACUCAGCAGGAUUUUGAGGCUUGCAGAAAUGACUUUGGUUUUGUUUUUAUAAUAGGCAGGAAUGCCGUAUAUGUUUUGCCUCUGCUGUGUUUUCUGCUUUUGCUUUUUGUUUAUUUGUUUAUGUUUUUGAUCUAUAGGAAAAUACUAGCCCCUCCUAUGCUUAUUUUAUAGGUUUAGUGAAUUUCUGAUGCUUUUAAAAGUAGAUAAAAUUCUCUUUAAUGGAGAAAACACUCUGAGAUAAUAUAAUGUCUCUCUCUUAAUUUUUCUUACCUGGAAACACACUUAUCUUCUCUACAGAGAAUGUAAUUAUACAAAGA
rnacentral:lncRNA from 1 species